GCAAAACGCGAAGAACCUUACCCACCCUUUGACAUGUACGGAAUCCUUUAGAGAUAGAGGAGUGCUCGAAAGAGAGCCGUAACACAGGUGCUGCAUGGCUGUCGUCAGCUCGUGUCGUGAGAUGUUGGGUUAAGUCCCGCAACGAGCGCAACCCUUGCCAUUAGUUGCUACAUUUAGUUGAGCACUCUAAUGGGACUGCCGGUGACGAACCGGAGGAAGGUGGGGAUGACGUCAAGUCCUCAUGGCCCUUAUAGGUGGGGCUACACACGUCAUACAAUGGCUGGUACAAAGGGUUGCCAACCCGCGAGGGGGAGCUAAUCCCAUAAAGCCAGUCGUAGUCCGGAUCGCAGUCUGCAACUCGACUGCGUGAAGUCGGAAUCGCUAGUAAUCGUGGAUCAGAAUGUCACGGUGAAUACGUUCCCGGGUCUUGUACACACCG
rnacentral:rRNA from 1 species